UACAGAGGGUGCGAGCGUUAUCCGGAAUCACUGGGCGUAAAGGGCGCGUAGGCGGCCCGACAAGUCAGUGGUGAAAGUUCGACGCUUAACGGCGAAUCGGCCACUGAUACUGUUGGGCUGGAGCACUGUAGAGGCUCGUGGAAUUCCGGGUGUAGCGGUGGAAUGCGUAGAGAUCCGGAAGAACACCGGUGGCGAAGGCGGUGAGCUGGGCAGUUGCUGACACUGAGGCGCGAAAGCGUGGGGAGCAAACAGG
rnacentral:rRNA from 1 species